GUGCCUGCUCAGUGCCCUUUUGUGGUAAACAGCCGCUGUAUUUUGACGGUGCUAAGGUAGCGAAAUUCCUAGCCUUUUAAUUGGAGGCCUGCAUGAAUGGCUUGACGAGCGCCUGACUGUCUCUCUCCCGCAUGUAGUGAAAUUAACUUUUGUGUGCAAAGGCACAAAUAAUUGAGUAAGACGAAAAGACCCUGUGCAACUUUACUAAGAAAAGAGGGGUUACCUACUUGUAGUUUAGCUGGGGCAGCUUAGGAAAAGAUAAAACUUCCUUGAAUUUAAGAUACUGGUAGGUUUGGAUCCGACGUAAUUAUUGUGUAGGUCGAGUAGCAGAAAAGUUACGCCAGGGAUAACAGCGUUAUCCUUCUGUGGAGGUCUUAUCUGCAGGGGGGAUUGCGACCUCGAUGUUGAAUUAAGGAUAUAGCGGAAAGGCGCAGCGGCUUUUUUUGUAGGUCUGUUCGACCUUUAAAACCCUACGUGAUCUGAGUUCAGACCGG
rnacentral:rRNA from 1 species